UAGAGUUUGAUCCUGGCUCAGAUUGAACGCUGGCGGCAGGCUUAACACAUGCAAGUCGAGCGGAGAUGAGGUGCUUGCACCUUAUCUUAGCGGCGGACGGGUGAGUAAUGCUUAGGAAUCUGCCUAUUAGUGGGGGACAACAUUCCGAAAGGGAUGCUAAUACCGCAUACGUCCUACGGGAGAAAGCAGGGGAUCUUCGGACCUUGCGCUAAUAGAUGAGCCUAAGUCGGAUUAGCUAGUUGGUGGGGUAAAGGCCUACCAAGGCGACGAUCUGUAGCGGGUCUGAGAGGAUGAUCCGCCACACUGGGACUGAGACACGGCCCAGACUCCUACGGGAGGCAGCAGUGGGGAAUAUUAGACAAUGGGGGGAACCCUGAUCCAGCCAUGCCGCGUGUGAAGAAGGCCUUAUGGUUGUAAAGCACUUUAAGCGAGGAGGAGGCUACUGAGACUAAUACUCUUGGAUAGUGGACGUUACUCGCAGAAUAAGCACCGGCUAACUCUGUGCCAGCAGCCGCGGUAAUACAGAGGGUGCGAGCGUUAAUCGGAUUUACUGGGCGUAAAGCGUGCGUAGGCGGCUUUUUAAGUCGGAUGUGAAAUCCCCGAGCUUAACUUGGGAAUUGCAUUCGAUACUGGGAAGCUAGAGUAUGGGAGAGGAUGGUAGAAUUCCAGGUGUAGCGGUGAAAUGCGUAGAGAUCUGGAGGAAUACCGAUGGCGAAGGCAGCCAUCUGGCCUAAUACUGACGCUGAGGUACGAAAGCAUG
rnacentral:rRNA from 1 species